rnacentral:rRNA from 1 species
AACGAACGCUGGCGGCAUGCCUAACACAUGCAAGUCGAACGAGACCUUCGGGUCUAGUUGCGCACGGGUGCGUAACGCGUGGGAACCUGCCCUUAGGUUCGGAAUAACUCCCCGAAAGGGGUGCUAAUACCGGAUAAUGUCUUCGGACCAAAGAUUUAUCGCCUUUGGAUGGGCCCGCGUUGGAUUAGCUAGUUGGUAGGGUAAAAGCCUACCAAGGCGACGAUCCAUAGCUGGUCUGAGAGGAUGAUCAGCCACACUGGGACUGAGACACGGCCCAGACUCCUACGGGAGGCAGCAGUGGGGAAUAUUGGAAAAUGGGCGAAAGCCUGAUCCAGCAAUGCCGCGUGAGUGAUGAAGGCGUUAGGGUUGUAAAGCUCUUUUACCCGGGGUGAUAAUGACAGUACCGGGAGAAUAAGCUCCGGCUAACUCCGUG